AACGAACGCUGGCGGCGCGCCUAAUACAUGCAAGUCGAGCGAGAAGACGUAGCAAUACGUUUGUAAGGCGGCGAACGGGUGAGGAAUACAUGGGUAACCUACCCUCGAGUGGGGAAUAACUAGCCGAAAGGUUAGCUAAUACCGCGUACGCUCCUUGGACUUCGGUUCAGGGAGGAAAGCGAUACCGUGGGUAUCGCGCUCUUGGAUGGGCUCAUGUCCUAUCAGCUUGUUGGUGAGGUAACGGCUCACCAAGGCUUCGACGGGUAGCUGGUCUGAGAGGACGAUCAGCCACACUGGGACUGAGACACUGCCCAGACUCCUACGGGAGGCUGCAGUCGAGGAUCUUCUGCAAUGGGCGCAAGCCUGACAGAGCGACGCCGCGGUGGGGGAGGGAAGG
rnacentral:rRNA from 1 species